UACGUAGGGUGCAAGCGUUAAUCGGAAUUACUGGGCGUAAAGCGUGCGCAGGCGGCUAUGCAAGACAGAUGUGAAAUCCCCGGGCUUAACCUGGGAACUGCAUUGGUGACUGCAGCGCUGGAGUAUGGCAGAGGGGGGUGGAAUUCCACGUGUAGCAGUGAAAUGCGUAGAGAUGUGGAGGAACACCGAUGGCGAAGGCAGCCCCCUGGGCCAAUACUGACGCUCAUGCACGAAAGCGUGGGGAGCAAACAGG
rnacentral:rRNA from 1 species